CCAUCACUACAUGUCUUUAGGCACCAGGCAAAAACAUUCCUAUUUACCCAGGCCUAUGGCUAGUAGAAAGUGAGGAGGAGUUAAACUUCUAAUGAGGGUGAAAGAAGAGAGUGCAAAAUAUGGUCUGAAGCUCAACAUCAAAAAAACUAAGAUCGUGGCCACUGGUCCCACCACCUCCUAGCAAAUAGAAAGGGGAAGAAAUGGAGGCAGUGAGAGAUUUACUUUGUUGGGCUCUAUGAUCACUGCAGAUGGUGACAGCAGUCACGAAAUCAAGGUACCCCUGACCGUUAGGUCCAGUUGUGGAUGACUCUGGGGUUGCGGUGCUCAUCUCGCUUUAUUGGCCAAGGGAGCCGACAUACAGCUUCCAGGUCAUGUGGCCAGCAUGACUAACCCGCUUCUGCAGAAUACAUCAUGCAAAAAGCUGGAAUGGAUGAAUCCCAAACCGGAAUUAAGAUUGCCAGAAGAAAUAUCAACAACCUCAGAUAUGCAGAUGACAGAACUUUGAUGGCAGACAGUGGGGAGGAAUUAAAGAACCUCUUAAUGAGGGUGAAAGAGGAGAGUGCAAAAUAUGGUCUGAAGCUCAACAUCAAAAAAACUAAGAUCAUGGCCACUGGUCCAUCACCUCCUGGCAAAUAGAAAAGGAAGAAAUGGAGAUAGUGAGAGAUUUUACUUUGUUGUGUUCCAUGAUCACUACAGAUGGUGACAGCAGUCAUGAAAUUAAAAGACGCCUGCUUCUUCGGAGAAAAGCGAUGACAAACCUAGACAGCAUCUUAAAAAGCAGAGACAUCACCUUGCCAACAAAGGUCUGCAUAGUUAAAGCUAUGGUCUUCCCAGUAGUGAUGUAUGGAAGUGAGAGCUUGACCAUACAGAAGGCUGAUCACCGAAGAAUUGAUGCUUUUGAAUUAUGGUGCUGGAGGAGACUCUUGAGAGUCUCAUGGACUGCAAGAAGAUCAAACCUAUCCAUUCUGAAGGAAAUCAGCCCUGAGCGCUCACUGGAAGGACAGAUCCUGAAACUGAGGUGCCAAUACUUUGGCCACCUCAUGAGAAGAGAAGACUCCCUGGAAAAGACCCUGAUGUUGGGAAAGACUGAGGGCACAAGGAGAAGGGGAUGACAGAGGAUGAGAUGGUUGGGCAGUGUUCUUGAAGCUACCAACAUGAGUUUGACCAAACCGUGGGAGGCAGUGGAAGACAGGAGUGCCUGGCAUGCUCUGGUCCAUGGGGUCAGGAAGAGUCGGACACGAAUAAACGACUAAACAACAUCAACAACAUGGCUAGUAAAUAAUCUAUGGCCUGUUAAAACUGUGUAGGGGGACUGUUAUUAUGAUUAUUUUAUUAUUAUGCUUUUUAAUGCUUUUAUCAUUAUGCUCUGUAACAUGUAUUCUUAAUGUUGUGCACCACCCUGGGAACUUUUGAUAAAGGCAGUAUAUAAAUGGAAUCAUUAUCAUUAUCAUCAUCAACAACAAUAGCCAAACUACACUUCCCAGAAGUGUAGUUCCACUCUGGGGAAAGCCACAACUAUUUUAAAUGGUAUGAUACUGCUUUUAAUAAAUAACACAGAUGGGGUCUGAAGACAGUCUACAAUGCUUUCCAAAUCUAUAAUAAACUAUAGAGAGAUCCCAAUUAAAUCACAAAUGUUGACAUUGGGAAGGGGGGAAAGGCCCUGUUCUAUCCUGCCCAAUCUGUCUCAGGGGAAGAAGGCUCAUGGCGUUGUCAGUAAGGAUAAGGAGGAAGGAAGCAGAACAUACCUUGAGUGGGGGAUAUGUGCGCGUGGAUUUAAAAAGCAAUUCAGCAAAAUUGAACACAUCUUUAUUUGUAUUUGUGUCAGCCUGUCAGUCAAUACCCAAGUGACAUGGAAAAUAUUUAUGAAAAGCAGACAGAACGUGUUAUAAAGAUUUCAGAAACUGUUAGAAAUUUGCAGCUGCCAAAGAACUUGAGAAUAUUUCCUCCCUGACUUCCUGUUCCAGCCAGUGACAGGAUGGCCUCUGGUUCAAGUCGAUGAUAGUGUGGCCUUUAUUCAAUUUACAUGAACAAGGCUAUUUCAAACUUUCAAAUGAAUGUCCUGGCAUUUGUUCUGAUGCAUCAGUCCCUUCUGCACUGUCGGUAGGGUAUAAAUAGCAAUAAAUAAGUAAUCAGAAUGUAUUAAUUGCUAUCCUUUCCCACCUUCCGAUUUAAUAUCCCCCAAAGCCCUUGUUAAGAUAUUUGCAAAACCUCCAGUUACAUAGGAAGUGUUGCUGGUGGUGCGAAUGUGUCAAGGCUUUAACCUUCCAGAAAUAUUCAUGCAGUGAGUAGGAUGCAAAUGCUCUUAAUUAGACCCACAGCUCAUAAAAUGAGCUCACAAGUCAUUUCUUCCAUGACUCUUAGCAGUGCAGAGAAAUGGAUGCUCAGAAAGCAGUGUAACUCCCAUAUACUGUAAUAUGGAGCCUGGUAUGGAUGCACAUUUCCUGGAUUUGCUGUGACAUAGGAACAGAACAGAUUGGAAGUAACCAAUUCUGCCAUCCAUCUUCUCUCAUAGUCCAUCUGUACUGUGACAAAGUAUCUUUAUAAAGCCCACUAUCAAAAAUCUUAACAAGUAUGUAAGGAAGCAACGGGAGUAAUGCGGGCAGCUAAGAAAACUCAGCUUCUGCCGUAAACUAAAAAACAUUUUAAGUACAUGCUCAGAAUUAGAAUGUAUUCUGAGGUUACAUAGUACGCAUCAGCACAAGUAAUAAAACCCUGAUAGCCACUACUUCUCUACAAAGUAGCUUCAGGAAAAAGCAAUUUGCAGCAGGGAGGUGAGUAAUACUUCCCUGCCUGCCAAUAUCUCUUGGAAAUUGUCGCCAAAGCCUCUUUUCCUCAUCAUGGGGUUCAAGAUGCCUGUUUGUGGUUUGAAAUUAGGGUUGCUUCCAAAUUUGCCAGCCUCUAAUUUCCCCUCCAGACACAGUUGUUACGAUUUAACUUGUCCCAGUUACUGAGUGCCAGACCCGUCGGUAUAUUUGCUUUGUGGUUGAAUCUGUCCAUUUCAGUGUCUCUUUUUUUCUAAUCGCCUCCAAAUUUUUGCCAGCAUUCUAAUGCACGCGUUUCCUAAUAUACACAUUUUUGCAAGACAUCUCCCCUAAUAUGGUGCAUGCUACUUUUUACUACUAUGUGCAUUUUAAUGCACACUUGCUCCAAAUGAACACGUUUUGGUGCGCCUUGCUUAACUGGAGGCCUGCAUCACAAAAUUCAGAGAAGUGUGAAUUUCAAAGGAUAAGAUGUGUUUCAUUUGCAUACUGUUCCGGGAAGUGCAAAACAGCUAGUUUUGCAUUAAAACUGAAUGUUUCCUUCCUUAGUGGAGGUGCAUGUCAUUAACACUCACACACUCCUUUACUAUCCUUGAAAUUUCUCAUGUGAUUAUAAAGAUAUGUAUCCCCCUUUUCACCGUUGCCAAAGUAUAGUCAAGGACUGCUAACCCUGAGAGCUGAAUUUCCAGCAACCCACACCUGCAAGUGUCAGACAGUGGGUGUGGCCAGCAAACACUUGCUGGGAGAAGCAUCUGCUACCAGACUCCCAAUACACUCCCAAUGCACAUCGUUUCCUUAAACAACAAAACCUGUGGCUUUUUACGUUUUCCUUUCCUUGGCUCUGACAAAAAGAUAUGUGCUCCUCUGACUGAUCCUGGCAAGAGCUAAAACUACUGCUAGACUACAGGGAACUUACUGAAGGAAGCCUCCCAUGUGCUGCUGAGUCAGGAGCAGUGACAGAUCUACAUUUUUGGGGCCUCAGAAGCAUGAACUGUCGGGGCGCCCCUUUGCAACCAGCAAUGAGGGAUUGGGUAACCACUGUUAUCCUCUUCAGUGGGGUCCCAGGACAGAUCCCACACCUUUACAAAAUCUGUGCUACCGACUCUCAAUUUUUGGGAUCGUUGAAAUAUAUGCAACAAAAAAUUAACAGGUUAGAGUCAAAUUGGGUCUAUUAGACCCACAAAUUUCAAGCAAUGAGGUCCAAAGCCACUUCUGGGGCCCCUCCGGAUCAGGGACUCUGAAGCUUAAGAUUGCUUAGUUUCAUAGUAGAUCUGCCCCCUAGUUAGGAGAUAGCUUCUGGAGGGAUUUACAGCACUCUGGGAUCUCUGAAAAAACAGGAGGAACAUGGGAGAAUGACAGGGAGGAGGGAGACACAGGAAAAAGCAAUAACAUUUGCAAAAAUUAAAAGGCUACUGCUGCCACCAUCCAUCUUGAAGCCUAGAAGUUGUGGAGCCUUGACUGACUCCAGCUGCAAAAGCUGAGGCUGCUGAAAAAACUCUUCCACUGGAUGGUUUGUGGCUGUUUUUUUGGUGUAUGUCUUUAUUUCAGAUCUUGUGAUUUAUGUGGAAAUUGUUCAGUUUGGUUGUGUAUUUUUAAAUGUUUUAUUUAUUGUUUAUGGCUACAUUGUAGUUAUGUAUUUUUUCAUGUUGUAAGCUGCCUUGAGAAUUGUUUGGACUGUGGGAAGUUGGCAUACAAAUAAAAUUAUGCAUGUAUGUGUCUUGGUGGGGCACAAUAAACUUUCAGUGAGGAGCUUAUUAUACCAUCCCUGGUAUAAUAUAUGUACAAUUUGUGGAUUAACCAUUCUGACAAAUAUGGGGAAAUGUUUAACACUUCUAUGCCCCAAAUAUCUUGGCAGCAGCAUUUACUCUCAGGAAAGUUCCCUUUUCCCAUCAGAUGCAGGAUCAUUUUCCUGAUCUGAGAAUCCCAAUGCUGGAGAGCUGAUAUUCUUUCUUCUCGUAUGCAUUUCAGAGCUGAAAAGAACAGCCCUGAAAAAAGAGGUGGUGGUGAGAAGUUCAGACAUUAGUCAACUAAUGCUAGGUUUGCCCAUGUUUGCCACUUCUUUUUCUUUCAACAUUUAAAAAGACUUGCAGAGUACUCCCAGUGGCUUGACAAUAGCACAGUGAUGCUCCUCCUGUAAAAGGUUAAACAAUAACUAGCUAUCUCAGUUCAGACGGAGAGAGAAGCAGAAAGUGCAGAACAAUUCUUACAAACUAGCCAAUCCCAUGGUAUAGUAACUCACUUUUGAUGUUCCUU